AAGAAGGGUGGAGAGGAAGAAAUUGUUUCAUGGCCUCCAACAGUAUCUUUGAGCCACGUUCAUCCUACCAGUCAGCUUUCAGACGAGCCAUUCAAACUGCACUAAACACAGCCUGAGGCUCUUCUGUCGUCCUCUCUUUAUCCGUCAUCCUGUCUCUCUGCCUCAUCUUGCCUCUCUCUCUCUCUCUCAACACACUGCUCACUUUUGUCUAUUUUCAUUUCUACGUUUCUACGUUGGAAGAACUAACAUUAAAUAGCUUUGACUGUGUGCAUGGUUACAUAGGUGCUCUCUCUCUCUCUCACUCUCUGCCUGUCUCCAUCUCUCUCUCCUUCUCUUUCUGUCUCUUUCUCUCUGUCAUUUCUUGUGUCAGAAAAUCAAUUUUUAGUUUAGCAGGAAUAAGCCCAUCUCCUCUCAUCACAGAGACCGGUUGAAUAAUUCAGCACACACACACACAAGAACUAAUGCUGUAAACAGGUGCCAUGCAACCGCCUCUCAAGCUCCGUGCAGCCAGACUAAAAGUUGUAGAUGCUUUCUCUGGUGAAGUUUAAGUUUUUAAAGAGAACCUGCAGCCAAUCAGAGGACAGGCGUGGGACUCCUGCUGACCUGUGUCGCGAAAUGUCUUCCUAGCUGAAAAACAUGGACACGCCUGCUCACUGCUGUCUGGUUUCUUGUCAGUGUUUGAAUUUACACUGACAGGAUGUUACACCUCAGUAGUACUGCAGAUUCAGAGUGAGAAGUGGCACACCCAAGUGCACUAACAUGCACAAUCUAAAGGCAAGCGUGAACACAGGAGAAGCUCUGCUAACGGCACACAAGACUUCUCUCUGCUCAGGAAACCAUUACUUCUCCAUAUCUACACAUAGAGGAUGUUUGGUGAUAUAUUAAUGCUCUGAAUGUACCUUUAAUAUGUAGCUUUGAACAAACAUCUGAGUGUAUCAGGGUGCUUUUCACUGCUUGUGGAGCAAAUGUUUAGCUGUAGGGCUUCAGUCCUGGUUAGCAGGGUGGAUCUCUACCUAUUGGUCAAAUAUUAGACACGGCUACUUCCUGUUUACGGAGCAAGGAUCAAUGAGACCAACUUUUACUUGAAUGUUUAUCGAUGUUAAAAUUAAAUGGUAUGUUGGCUUCACGGCUAAUUUGACAGACGGGAGGUUGAUCUGUUUAUGUGUGUGUGUGUGUGUGUGUGUGUGUGUGUGUGUGUGUGUGUGUGUGUGUGUGUGUGUGUGUGUGUGUGUGUGUGUGUGUGUGUGUGUGGACAGACAAAUUGAGAGAUCAACAGAAUGAGAAACUUAUUUUGAAUCCAUGAUGUUCCUUUAUCCUCACAGUUCUUCUUCAGGACAUUGGAUGUCUCCUUAAUGUAAAAGUGAUGAUCCGUUACCCAUGGUGACCUCUGCUGACCUUUAGUGACAAUCACCCUUUCACUACUUCCUCCAUCUGCCGCUAGAAGGACUGAAAGCUUUACGGCUCCCCCCCCUUCACGGUAAAUGCCAUAAAGCAACAGCCCUCUGUGCCAUAAAGUAAUCAAGCAGGCUGAGUGGCACCAUGCAGGGAAGAGUGUGGUAAAAACACACAAAUCAAUGUAUAAUGACAUAAAUACUGACACAAACUGAUGUUUUGUCUUUGCAAAUGAAGCAUUUUACGUAUGUACAAUAUUAACAAUAAACACUUUAUUUAGAAGACCUGUGUUGUGUAUGUGUGUGUGUGUGUGUGUUGUAUACAACAGUGUUCAGUGUGUGUGUUCGUAUGCAUGUGGGACAGCAUGAAUAUUAGUGUGUUUCGUCAGCGUGCGAGCCCACGUUGUUGCGCAAGUCUACAUUCUAUUCUGUGUGUGUAGGUGUGUGUGUGUGUGUGUGUGUGUGUGUGUGUGUGUUUGUGUGUGUGUGUGCGUGUGUAUGUGUGAGUGUGUGUCAUUUGGUGCUGCUGCUAACUGAUAUGUCAGAAAAUCAAUUAAUUACUUUUAAGCGGCAGCUAACUGCAUCCCCGCAAUACACCCCAUGAAUUAUAGACGAAGUAUGUGUGUGUGUGUGUGUGUGUGUGUGUGUGUGUGUAUGUGUGUGUGUGUGUGUGUGUGUGUGUGUGUGUGUGGUACAAUCGGUUGCUCUGUUAACUAGAGACAAUUGCUAACUUCUCCGUCAUUGAUCAACUGAUGAGAGUGCUCCGAUACAAAUCUACUGAGCUCUGAAGUGUCUGAACUGGCUCAUCAAUGUUUGCUUCUAUGGUGUGUGUGUGUGUGUGUGUCUGUGUGUGUGUGUGUGUGUGUGUGUGUGU